GACAGCAGUAGCCGCGGUAAUACGUAGGUGGCAAGCGUUGUCCGGAAUUAUUGGGCGUAGAGCGCGCGCAGGCGGAUAGGUCAGUCUGUCUUAAAAGUUCGGGGCUUAACCCCGUGAUGAGAUGGAAACUGCCAAUCUAGAGUAUCGGAGAGGAAAGUGGAAUUCCUAGUGUAGCGGUGAAAUGCGUAGAUAUUAGGAAGAACACCAGUGGCGAAGGCGACUUUCUGGACGAAAACUGACGCUGAGGCGCGAAAGCCAGGGGAGCGAACGGAAUUAGAUACCCCAGUAGUCCCUGUCUCUUAUACC
rnacentral:rRNA from 1 species